GCAUGGUUCGAUAGUGAAAGAUGGUUUUGCUAUCACUUAUAGAUGGACCCGCGCCGUAUUAGCUAGUUGGUAAGGUAACGGCUUACCAAGGCGACGAUACGUAGCCGACCUGAGAGGGUGAUCGGCCACACUGGAACUGAGACACGGUCCAGACUCCUACGGGAGGCAGCAGUAGGGAAUCUUCCGCAAUGGGCGAAAGCCUGACGGAGCAACGCCGCGUGAGUGAUGAAGGUCUUCGGAUCGUAAAACUCUGUUAUUAGGGAAGAACAUACRUGUAAGUAACUAUGCACGUCUUGACGGUACCUAAUCAGAAAGCCACGGCUAACUACGUGCCAGCAGCCGCGGUAAUACGUAGGUGGCAAGCGUUAUCCGGAAUUAUUGGGCGUAAAGCGCGCGUAGGCGGUUUUUUAAGUCUGAUGUGAAAGCCCACGGCUCAACCGUGGAGGGUCAUUGGAAACUGKAAAACUUGAGUGCAGAAGAGGAAAGUGGAAUUCCAUGUGUAGCGGUGAAAUGCGCAGAGAUAUGGAGGAACACCAGUGGCGAAGGCGACUUUCUGGUCUGUAACUGACGCUGAUGUGCGAAAGCGUGGGGAUCAAACAGGAUUAGAUACCCUGGUAGUCCACGCCGUAAACGAUGAGUGCUAAGUGUUAGGGGGUUUCCGCCCCUUAGUGCUGCAGCUAACGCAUUAAGC
rnacentral:rRNA from 1 species